rnacentral:snRNA from 1 species
UGACUUACCUGGCAGGGGAGACACCUUGAUCAUGAAGGAGGUUUUCCCAGGGUGAGGCUCAUGCAUUGCAUGUUGCACCUUUGACCACAGACCAGACUUGGACCUCGCCUCUCUGGUAACCCAUGGGACCAGCACACUGCCCC